rnacentral:rRNA from 1 species
GAAACCUACGGGAGGCAGCAGUGAGGAAUAUUGGUCAAUGGGCGCGAGCCUGAACCAGCCAAGUCGCGUGUGGGAAGACGGUCCUAUGGAUUGUAAACCUCUUUUGUCGGGGAGCAAAAGACGCCACGCGUGGCGUUCCGAGAGUACCCGAAGAAAAAGCAUCGGCUAACUCCGUGCCAGCAGCCGCGGUAAUACGGAGGAUGCAAGCGUUAUCCGGAUUUACUGGGUGUAAAGGGAGCGUAGACGGCAGCGCAAGUCUGGAGUGAAAUGCCGGGGCCCAACCCCGGAACUGCUCUGGAAACUGG